UUUUUUACAGUGAGAACACAGAUCAGCCCACUACAAAGGCAUUAGAGCAUUAGAAAAAGUUCCUCAGAAACAUUUUACUUUGGUGUUUUUCACAACUCAAGUAAUCAGCAGACUCGGGAGUUACACAAUGGUACAGAUGUGUAGAUUGUCUCUAACUCAUACAUUGGUCACCAGAAGGCAUAGGAGAUUACGCAUGUUGUGUGACAUUUACAGGAGGAAAUCUCACCAAAACUCAAUCCCUAUGGUUACCCAUUGCUGUUUGAGAAGAGAACCAGAGCAGUACACAGACAGCUGACCUUCCACCCAGCAGUUUCACCUACAGGGUAACCCCAUGUUCAACCUGUUGCUGAUGAUAGCAUUUCCCAUUUCAGUCUUCUCUUGUAAUAGAGUUGUGUCUAGAUCAUCUAUCUGCUGAUAUACCAAGGGUUACUACAUGAGUUUCCAGGAAGUUCACACCAUGAAAUCUUGUCAAAAACUGCAGCUAGACCAGUAUUACUGCAGUUCCAGAUUUGGAAGCAUGAUGUAAUAGCAGUAGCAGUACAGGCAAAGAUUCCAAAUGUAAUCCUGUGUGCAAGGUUCUAGGUGGCCCGGUUCCAUAUGGCAGACUGUUCAGUGCAAUGUUCUGUAUGGUAUCAGAUAUGAUUUGUGUGAAGAUGUAUCCAAGCAGCCUGAGAUCCUCUGGUUUUGAUCCAUCUUGGUAGAAAACAUGUGGCUGGAUUUGCUAUCUCCCAUUUCCAUAUGAAGAAGUUAGGGUGUAAGAAGGUCAGAAGCUUUUACAUUAUUGGAAACCAAGGACAAUUUGUUGCCUCAUCAAGUUUAUAGAAGUUUUCGAUUGAAGUUACGGAGAAUUGUAUCUGUUCAGAAGUUACUACAUUGUAUGCAGAGGCUAUGAACACAUCUGUCCUGUCCAGUAUGAAAGCUACGAGUGAAUACACCUGUUCUGCCCAAUAUUAAAGCUACAACUGCGAAUACACCUAUCCUGCCCAGGUUGAAGCAACAGCUGUGAACACAUCUGUCCUGUCAAGUAUGAUAGAUACAACUAUGAACACAUCUGUCCUGUCCAGUAUGAAGCUACAGCUGUGAACACACCCGUUGUGCUCAGGUUGAAGCUACAACUGUGAAUACAACUAUUCUGCCAAGUAUGAAAGCUACAACUGUGAACACACUGUCCUGCCCAGAAUGAAGCUGCAGCUGUUAACACACUAUCCUGCCUGACAUGAAACUAUAGCUGUGAACAUUUACUCCUCUAGUCCAGUCCUUUAGGACGGAUGAUUGGGAUAUUUCUUAAAUAAGAUUCUUGGUGCAGGAAGUGUUGAGAUCUACACACAGGCCUGGUGAAACCGACUGAGCAGAUCAGGAAUAACUUGGAUAUUACGGAGUACAGCUGUACCACCAUGUUACCACCUGAAUUAUCCGCUGUCGAUAUACAACCACGUUACCACCAGAAAUAUCCGCUGCUGAUAUACAAACAUGUUACAACCUGAAUUAUCCACUGCUGUUAACUGCCUUUGUUGACACAAUGGCACAUGGAUUUAACAGACAACAAUUAUUCGCAUUGGAGAGCCUGUGACACAGUAUAAACUAUGAACAUGAUCUAAUGGCUUGGCAUUGGAUGUAGAGUCCUGGCACUACAUAGACUAAAAGUGAUCUAGUGUUUUACCACUAUAGAGUUCAUGAAUGUGGUCUAGUGUUUUGGCAUUAGAUUGACUAUGAAUGAAACCUAAUGACUUGGUGCUCAACACAUUGACUGUGAAUGUAAGCUAGUGUAUUAGAACUAUAUAGACUGAACUUGAUCAAAGUGUCUCAACACUAGCAGAUUGAAAAUAUGAUCUUGUGUCUUGUCAUUAUAUUGAAAAGGAAAGUGAUUUCAUGUCUAAUGGGUAUAGAGCAGAAAAGUAUAAAAUGAUGGAAUAGUGACGCAGUUUGAUGUGUCUCAGCACUGUAAAUGUGUUCGUCUUGUCACUAUAUAAAUGUGACUGUGUAUGAUACAUGUAGAGCAAAAAAGUCUAAAAUGUUUGGAAUAUUGAUAAAUACAAACAGUAAGAAUUGAAGAUACUAAUGACAGUACAUUUUGAAAGCAAUGAGAACUAAGAAAGAAGUUGUCUACCUACUUAAUCAUUUUUAGCUCCGCUAUUCGGAGAAUAGGGGGGCUAUACUACUCACCCCAGCGUCGGCGUGACCCUUCUUGGAUAAAGUUUUUGGGCAACCUUUGUUUUUCUGUCAUAUCUUUAUUACUAUCGCUUAUAUCUUGCUGUAACUUCACAUAAACAUUGUCCAGUAUACAAACAAUGUAUGUGUAUGGGCUGAGCCCAUUACACACAAGGUCAAGGUCACCAAGCUGUUAUACUUAGGUUAUUUUUAAGGUUUAAAGUUUUUCAGCAACCUUUGUUUUUCUGUCAUAUCUUUGUUACUAUUGCUUAUAUCUUACUGUAACUUCACAUAAACAUUGUCCAGUAUACAAACAAUGUAUGUGUAUGGGCUGAGCCCAUUACACACAAGGUCAAGGUCACCAAGCUGUUAUACUUAAGUUAUUUUUAAGGUUAAAGUUUUUCGGCAACCUUUGUUUUUCUGUCAUAUCUUUGUUACUAUUGCUUAUAUCUUACUGUAACUUUACAUAAACAUUGUCCAGCAUACAAACAAAGUUUAUAUAGUGACUGGGCCCAUUAUACUCAAGGUCAUCAAGGUCUUAUACUUGGGUUAUUUUUAAGGUUAAAGUUUUUCGGCAACCUUUGUUUUUCUGUCAUAUCUUUGUUACUAUUGCUUAUAUCUUACUGUAACUUUACAUAAACAUUGUCCAGCAUACAAACAAAGUUUAUAUAGGGACUGGGCCCAUUAUACUCAAGGUCAUCAAGGUCUUAUACUUGGGUUAUUUUUAAGGUUAAAGUUUUUCGGCAACCUUUGUUUUUCUGUCAUGUCUUUGUUACUUUUUUGCUUAUAUCAUACUGUAAAUUCCCAUAAACAUUGUCCAGCAUACAAAGUAUGUGUAGGGGCUGGGCCCAUUAUACCCAAGGUCAAGGUCACCAAGGAGUUAUACUUUGAAUUAUUUUCAUGUUAAAUUUUUUCGAAAGCUUCGUUUAUAGACAUAUCUUUGGUACUUUAAAAGAUAAUGACUUAAAAUUAAAAGUAUUUGUUUAUAAUCAUCUGCAUGUGUGGCUACUUACCCCAUAACUCUAAUUUUUUUUUUUUUGACAGAAUUAUGCCACUUUUGUACUUAAACUUUUUUGCAAUCUUUGCUUUAUGGAUACUAUUUUAAUGCAAUAUCAGAUAAAGACUUGAAACUUAAAAUGUAUCUUUAUCAUCAUCAUCAUCUGCAUGUGUGGUAACAAUCCCCAUAUCUCUGAUUUGUAUUUUUGACCGAAUUAUGCCCCUUUUAUACUUAAAUUUUUUACAAACUUCGUUUUCUGGACAUAACAUUGGUACUAUAUAAGAUAAUGACUUGAAACUCAAAAUAUAUCUUUAUCAUCAUCAUCUGCAUGUGUUGUAACAAUCCUAAUAACUCAAAUUGGUGUAUUUGAUGGAAUUAUGCCCCUUGGUGUAUCUUCCUUUUAAAGUAGAGGUCUCUUUUUCAGACAAGUUCAUUUUACUGUCAAAUCCCCGAAUAGUGGAGCGCGCUGUCUUACGGACAGCUUUUGUCUGUAUGGAUGUUACAAAAAUAGAUGAAACAGAAAGGACAUGAACAGUAACAGUGAAUUCUUUCAUACAUUUUGUCAACUGAAAAAGAAUUUAGUGUGUAGUUAUCUGGAAUUUCUAAAUGCAGAUGUUGAUGAGAUAUUAAAUUUUUAACAUAAUUGUCAUACAUUCAUACAAUUUCAUCAUUGGUAUUCUUUUCUUCUGACAGUCACCUUUACAACUUGUCUGAAAGUAGCUCUGUUUGUUUGAUAAACUAAAAGUGAUGGCACAAUGUCAUUUAUCCCAAUAAUGUAAGAUAAAGCCUUGACUCUGUAUGCCGAAACAAAAAACAUGAAUAUGUGGCAACCUGUGAUUGCAUUUAUUUGAAUAGCAACAUUACUAUCUUUCUAAAGAUGAAAUAUUAUUUUGAAAAUACUGACACUUGAACUGAUUCUGAAUAAUGCCUUAAACUUGGGUGAAAUAUGUGGAUCUUUUUUUAUUUAGGGCAAAUAUCUCAAAAUUGUAUCAUAGUUUACCUGCAGUGUCAUUAUAACUGUUUGCUUCUGUCUGUAAUAUUCUUCAACUGAGGAAGCGGCGUGGCUAUAAGCCGUACUCUUAAGUUAGAGAACAUGUCUUAGGUCCAGCCUACAUAUAGAAUACUGUAGGGAAAUGUUGAACUUUCUGAAACCGUUCUCUAUUUUCAGAUAGAGUACGCUUGUCCUGUGAUGGUACCAACGCUUAAAAUGGAAUGUUAACUUGUCAAUUAAAAUUAGUAGCCGAAUGCAUUGUUCAUAUUGGCGGACCAUGAUACAAAACAGAAAGCGUAGGGGCCACUUGAAAUAACCUAAUUAUUCUAGUGAACCCCUACUCUUUCUAUUACAUAAGCACAUGAACCUACACAUUUUAUUUCACUUUAUUGUAUAUGUACUACUGUAUACCAUAUGUUUAUAUAAUGACUGUGAGAAGUUUUAUUAAAAUCUUUGUUGUGGGAAAUGUCAUUAAAAUUAUGAAUUUCAUAAAUUUUGCAUUAGGUCCCACAUUUGAUAUAACUGUAGCAAAAGGUCAAAGAUAAGACCAUAUCUUUUUAGCUCAUCUGAUUUUUGAAAAAAGUCUACUAGGUAUUGUCAUCGCUAGAUCGUCGGCAUUGGGUAAAAUUUUUGUUUAGGUCUACUUUUUUCAAAAUAUGUAAGAACUACAGCUUUGAAACUUUAUCAUUAGGGGACUGUGUAGUCUAAGAACCAUAACUCUGAUACUCUGAUAUGCAUUUUGUCAAAAUUGUGGCCCUUCUUGUACUAAGAAAAUUUGAGUUUCUUGAUUAAAUUUUUGUUUAGGUCCACCUUUUCUCAAAAAGUAUUAGAGCUACAGCUUUGAAACUUUACUUUGCACACUUCUUUACCAUUAUUAGAUGACUAUGUAGGAUAAGAACCAUACUUCUAACCUGCAUUUUGUCAGAAUUAUGGCCCUUUUUGAACUUAGAAAUUCUGAACUGUUACUCUUUCCUUACAUACUGUCCAGCACUUGCAGACGAGCGAUGGCAACCAUAGGCGGUGCUCUUGUUAUGACAUUGUUUUUGCCCUGUCCGUCCGUAUGUCACACUUCAUUUCCUAUCAAUAACUUGAGAACCAUUUGACCUAGAUCCUUCAAACUUCAUAGGGUAGCAAGGCUUAUGGAGUAGAUGACCUCUAAUGUUUUUGGGGUCACUCCAUCAAAGGUCAAGAUCACAGGGGCCUAAACGUGGAAAACCCAUUUUCGAUCAAUAACUUGAGAACCACUUUACCCGGAAUGUUGAAACUUCAUAGGAUGAUUGGACAUGCAGAGUAGAUGACCCCAUUGACUUUAGGGGUCACUCCAUCAAAGGUUAAGGUCACAGGGGCCUGAACAUUGAAAAAUAUUUCUGAUCAAUAACUUGAGAACCACUUGACCUAGAAUGUUGGAACUUAUAGUAUGAUUGAACAUACAGAGUAUUUGACCCAUGUUGAUUUUGGUGUCACUAUUAAAGGUCAAGGUAACAGCGGUCAGAACAUGGAAAUCCAUUUCCAGUCAGUAACUUGAGAACCAUUUAACCUAGAACUUUCAAUCAACAGGUUGAUAGGACUUAAGAGUAGGUGACCCAGAUAGUUUUUGGGGUCACUCCAUCAAAAGUCAAGGUCACAGGGGUCAUCCGUCCAUCACACUUUAUUUUUGAUCAGUAUCUGGAGAACCAUUUGACCUAGAACCAUUAAACUUCAUAGGUUGAUAGGACUUACAAAGUAGAUGAUCUGUAUUGUUUUGGGGGUUACUAGAUCAAAGGUCAAAGUCAAUGGGCCUGAACAUGGAAAACCGUUUCUGAUCAAUAACUUGAGAACCACUUGCCCCGGAAUGUUGAAACUUCGUAGGAUGAUUGGAGAUGCAGAGUAGAUGACCCCUUUUGGGAUCACUCCAUCAAGGGUCAAGGUCAUAGGGGCUGAAUAUGGAAAACAGUUUCUGAUCAAUAACUUGAGAACCACUAGGCAUAGAAUGUUGAAACUUCAUAGGAUGAUUGGACAUGCAAAGUAGAUGAUCCCUAUUGCAGCCAAAUAUCAGUGUCUCUUCGACUUUCGCUACUGUCCCAUAGUGACUUCUUGCCUAUUACAACUAUGCAUUAGGGGAGACAUUAUAGUUUAUUUCCUGAUAUUGUUUUGAAUGUGUGGGGAAAAUUGCUCGAGCUGCUCAAUUAAAACCGAUAACAAGACUGAUUAUUUAUUGUUCUGAUCUGUUAAAGAUCAGACAGCUGGUAUUCAUGGGUAUCAUGUCAUGAGCACAGAAUUUUGUUCAGACCUUUGAAGAUAGAAAAAAUAUUAAUAUGUAAACUGCUUGAUGGAUCUUAACCAAACUUUGAUCUGUAGCAGCCUUUGUUGGACUUAAAGGUUAUGCAGUGUGGGGUCAUCACCUGUAUGUAAAAACAUUUAAGAAACUUUUAAUUAACUGCUUAAAUGAUGUUCACCAAACUUGUUCAGAAGCAAGGUCAGAGUUACUGACUAUAUAGGUUAUAGACAAUGAGAUAUUUGCAGAGUGCAAAAAAUGGAGCUGACCGAUAAAUGUAAAUGUAAUGUCUUAUUAUGUGUCUAGAGAAUCCCCUGAAAACUUAGUUGUUUUGUUUUUUUUUUGUUUUUUUUAGCUCACCUGUCAUGUAGUGACAGGGUGAGCUUUUGUGAUCACCCUUCGUCCGUCUGUCCACAAUUUCUUGUCUGCAUGAUAGUGAUUUCAUUUAUGAUUUUAUUUUAACCAAACUUGCACACAACUUGUAUCACCAUAAGAUCUUGGUUCUUUACUUGAACUGGUUAGAUCCCAUUAUGGGUUUCAGAGUUAUGGCCCCUGAAAGGGCCAAAAUUGGCUAUUUUGACCUUGUCUGCACAAUAGCAGCUUUAUUUAGGAUUUGAUUUUUACCAAACUUGCACACAACUUGUAUCACCAUAAGAUCUUGGUUCCUUUUUUGAACUGGCCAGAUUCCAUUAUGGGUUCCAGAGUGAUGGCCCCUGUAAGGGCCAGAAUUAGCUAUUUUGACCUUGUCUGCACAAUAGCAGCUUCUUUUAUGAUUUGAAUUUAAGCAAACUUGCACAAAACUUGUGUCACCAUAAGAUCUCGGUUCCUUUCUUGAACUGGCCAAAUCCCUUAAUGGGUUUCAGAGUUGUGGCCCCUGAAAGGGCCAAAAUUAGCUAUUUUGACCUUGUCUGCACAAUAGCAGCUUCAUUUAUGAUUUGAUUUUAACCAAACUUGCACACAACUUAUAUCACCACAAGAUCUUGGUUCCUUUCUUGAACUGGCCAGAUUUUGACCUUGUCUGCACAAUAGAAGCUUCAUUUAUGAUUUGAAUUUAAUCAAACUUGCACAAAACUUGUGUCACCAUAAGAUCUUGGUUCCUUUCUUGAACUGGCCAGAUCCCUUAAUGAGUUCCAGAGUUAUGGCCCCUGAAACGGCCAAAAUUAGCUAUUUUGACCUUGUCUGCACAAUAGCAGCUUUAUGAUUUGAUUUUAAUCAAACUUGCACACAACUUUUAUCACCAUUAGAUCUCGAUUCCGUUUUAUACGCCCUAAGGGACGUGUUAUGCUAUCGCCUCGGUGUCUGUCUACUUGUCUGUCUGUCUGUUAGCAAUUUCCCUUCCGCUCUCUAACUCUUGAACCCCUUGAAGGAUUUGAAAGAAACCUGACACAAAUGUUUCCCUCAUAGAAACGAUGUGCAGAGCGCAUGUUUCGGAUGGCUCACUUCAAGGUCAAGGUCACACUUAGGGGUCAAAGGUCAUAUGACUUUGUUUUGUGUGUAUAUUGCUCUGCAUUUGUGUUGCAUUGCAGUGCUCUUGUUCUUAUUUGGCAGAUCCUUCUUUUGUUCACUUACGAUAAUUUUUAGCUCACCUGUCACAAAGUGACAAGGUGAGCUUUUGUGAUCGCGCGGUGUCCGUCGUCCGUCCGUGCGUGCGUCCGUAAACUUUUGCUUGUGACCAUUCUAGAGGUCACUUUUUUCAUGGGAUCUUUAUGAAAGUUGGUCAGACUGUUCAUCUUGAUGAUAUCUAGGUCAAGCUCGAAACUGGGACACGUGCCUUCAAAAACUAGGUCAGUAGGUCUAAAAAUAGAAAAACCUUGUGACUUCUCUAGAGGCCAUAUAUUUCACAAGAUCUUCAUGAAAAUUGGUCAGAAUGUUCACCUUGAUGAUAUCUAGGUCAAAUUCGAAACUGGGUCACGUGCCAUCAAAAACUAGGUCAGUAGGUCUAAAAAUAGAAAAACCUUGUGACCUCUCUAGAGGCCAUAUAUUUCACAAGAUCUUCAUGAAAAUUGGUCAGAACAUUCACCUUGAUGAUAUCUAGGUCAAGUUCGAAACUGGAUCACGUGCCAUCAAAAGCUAGGUCAGUAGGUCUAAAAAUAGAAAAACCUUGUGACCUCUCUAGAGGCCAUAUAUUUCACAAGAUUUUCAUGAAAAUUGGUCAGAACAUUCACCUUGAUGAUAUCUAGGUCAAGUUCGAAACUGGAUCACGUGCCAUCAAAAACUAGGUCAGUAGGUCAAAUAAUAGAAAAACCUUGUGACCUCUCUAGAGGCCAUAUUUUUCAUGGGAUCUGUAUGAAAGUUGGUCUGAAUGUUCAUCUUGAUAUCUAGUUCAAAUUGGAAACUGGGUCACAUGUGGUCAAAAACUAGGUCAGUAGGUCUAAAAAUAGAAAAACCUUGUGACCUCUCUAGAGGCCAUAUAUUUCACGAGAUCUUCAUGAAAAUUGGUCAGAAUGUUCACUUUAAUGAUAUCUAGUUCAAGUUCGAAAAUGGGUCACGUGCCAUCAGAAACUAGGUCAGUAGGUCAAAUAAUAGAAAAACCUUGUGACCUCUCUAGAGGCCAUAUUUUUCAUGGGAUCUGUGAAAAUUGGUCUGAAUGUUCAUCUUGAUGAUAUCUAGGUCAAGUUCGAAAGUGGGUCACAUACCGUCAAAAACUAGGUCAGUAGGUCAAAUAAUAGAAAAACCUUGUGACCUCUCUAAAGGCCAUAUUUUUCAUGGGAUCUGUUUGAAAAUUGGUCUGAAUGUUCAUCUUGAUGAUAUCUAGGUCAGGUUCGAAACAGGGUCAUGUGCGGUCAAAAACUAGGUCAGUAGGUCUAAAAAUAGAAAAACCUUGUGACCUCUCUAGAGGCCAUACUUGUGAAUGGAUCUCAAUAAAAAUUGGUCAGAAUCUUCACCUUGAUGAUAUCUAGGUCAAAUUUGAAACUGGGUCACAUGCCUUAAAAACUAGGUCAGUAGGUCAAAUAAUAAAACAAUCUUGUGACCUCUCUAGAGGCCAUACUUUUCAUGGGAUCUGUAUGAAAGUUGGUCUGAAUGUUCAUCUUGAUGAUAUCUAGGUCAGUUUUGAAACUGGGUCAGCUGUGGUCAAAAACUAGGUCAGUAGGUCUAAAAUUAUUAAAAUCUUUUGACCUCUCUAGAGGCCAUAUUUUUCAAUUGAUCUGAAUGUUCACCUUGAUGAUAUCUAGGUCAGUUUCGAAACUGGGUCACGUGCAGUCAAAAACUAGGCUAGUAGGUAUAAAAAUAGAAAAUCCUUGUGACCUCUCUAGAGGCCAUAUUUUUCAUGAGACUUUCAUGAAGAUUAGUGAGAAUGUUCACCUUCAAGUUGAUGAUAUCUAGAUAAAGUUCAAAACAGGGUCACGUACCUUCGAAAAGUAGGUCAGUAGGUCAAAUAAUAGAAAAACCUUGUGACCUCUCUAGAGACCAUAUUUUUCAAUGGAUCUUCAUGAAAAUUGGUCAGAAUUUUUGUCUUGAUAAUAUCUAGGUCAAGUUCAGAACUGGUUCACAUGAGCUCAAAAACUAGGUCACUAUGUCAAAUAAUAGAAAAAACGACAUCGUACUCAAAACUGGGUCAUGUGGGAACAGGUGAGCGAUUCAGAACCAUCAUGGUCCUCUUGUUUUUUAAUUACUUCCCGUUUAUGUUACUAUAAAUAGCUUAUUUAGUAACUUUUUUAUUAUUUGCCGUAGGGAAAAACCGAGACCACUUUUCUGUGGUACAACAUGGAUGGUUCCUCCAAUUUAUAGGUGUAUUUUGACAUAUCUGUACCUUUAAGAAAAUUUCAACUAUGUUUUCACAUGAUUCUUUUGAUUGAUCUUGAUUAUGAUUUUUUGACCUUCUUUUCCUUAAGUGCAAUGAUAACAGGUGAGCGAAAUAGGGCCAUUAUGGCUCUCUUGUUUAAUUUGUUAGUAAAUCUGAUUCAAAUUUAUAGUGUUAAGAGUAUUUCUUUAUAAAAACUUUUGUAGUCUGUAAAGUUUGUAAUAACGCUAGCUACUACAUCAAUCACGCUGUAAAUUUGAUCUGAAUGUUGCUUUAUAUCAGGUCUGCAUGUCAGCUAGACUACUUGUUAGACUGUUUCAAUAGUUUUUAGCUUGACUAUACGAAGUAUGGAGAGCUAUCCUACUCGACCCGGCGUCGGCGUCUUACCGCGUCCCCACCUUGGUUAACCCUUUUAUGAACUUUCGUUAUUACUUUAUAGAUUUGCUUAGAACUUAAAAUAGUUAUUUCUUAUCACCACUUACAUCAUAUGGCACAAGGGUCAUAACUCUGGCACCAAUAUUUCAUGAAUUAUCCCCCCUUUCUUAUAAUUUCAGGUUGAAGAUUUGGUGCACUUUCACUUUAUCUCAGUUAUUACUAAAUGGAUUUGAUUUAAACUUAGAAUAGUUAAUCCACAUCAUCACCCACAUCAUAUGACACAAGGUCCAUAACACUGGCACCAAUUUUUCAUGAAUUAUGCCCCCAUUUUACUUAGUUUAGUUUCAUCAUGACCCUCUUGUACUUAAUGUAGUUUUGAUGCAUUUUCACUAUAUCUCUGUUAUUUCAGAAGGGAUUUAAUUCAAGACUGUGUAGUCAUAGCUGUUGAAAACGGCGUUAAACCCAAAACAAACAAACAAACAAAUUCAAACGUAAAAUAAUUGUUUAUCAUCAUCGCCUACAUCAGUUGACACAAGGACCAUAACUGUGACACAUGUAUUAUAGGAGUUAUCCUCCUUUUUACUUAAAAUUUCAGGUUAUAGUUCUAUGCACUUUCACUCUAUCUAUGUUAUUACCAAACAGAUUUGAUUUAAACUUGAAACAGUUGUACCACAUCAUCAUCCACAUCAUAUGACUCAAGGACAAUAACUCUUGCAGAUUUUUUUUUAAUCAUCCCCCUUUUUAGCUUAAAAUUUCAGGUUAACGUUUUGAUGCACUUACAUUGUAUGUCUGUUAUUACCAAGUGGAUUUGAUUCAAACUUAAAGUAGUUGUACUAGAUCAUCACCCACAUUAUAUGAUACAAGGGUCAUAACUCUUGCAUCAAUAUUUCAUAGUUUAUAUCCCCUUUUUACUUAGAAUUUCAGGUUAAUUGUGGUGCUCUAUCACUAUAUCUUUGGCAUUACUUGAUAAAUUUGACUAAAACUUAAUUUAGUUUUUCCAGAUCCUCAUCCUCAUCAUAUGACACAAGGUCAGUAACUCUGGUGCAAACAUUUUAUGAACUAUAUCCCUUUUUUACUUAGAAUUUCAGUUUAUUUUUUAUGCUUUUUAUAUCUCUGUUGUUACUAAAUGGAUUUAAUCAAACUUAAAAUGGUUGUUCCACAUCAUCAGUCACAUCAUAUAACACAAGUUUGAUAAUGCUGACACCAGUCUGUUCUGAGUUCAGCCCUCUUUUUACUAAAAGAAUUUCCGGUUCAAGUUGCAAUGCACUUUUGCUGUAUCUGUUGCUUUUAUACUGAUUGAAUGUUUUGAGGCUUAAGUUAUUGUCUAAUAUCUUCAGCCACAUUUGAGUCAUUAAACACACCAGUGACAGCUUCAGCUUCCUCAGAUGUACCCAAUUUCUCUAUCCAGCAUGGAAAUAGUCGAGUGCACUGUCUCCUGUCUCCUGUGACAGCUCUUGUUAUAUAUUCAGCAAGCAGUUGUCUUGUUUUUGAUAUGGUUUGUCUUAGAAGCUUUAUUAUUAUUGUUAAUACAAUAAGGUCAUUUAUUACUAUGGUAAAGAGUUGUGUAAUGUAUAGCCGAAAUAACAGUGGGGUCUAAUAUCAAGUUAUUGAAAGAUUGAUGUGUAAGGUCACGCAGAAUUGAAAAAUUGUACUUCGAUUUUUUUUUCUAAAAAAAGGUGAGAGAAAAAAGGUUUUUUUUAGGGAAACUGAAGUGAGAAAAGAGCAAAGAAAUAUGUGUCUUUAUUUGACUUUCCUUUAAAUAAUGGAACAUCAUAAAUAGAAAGUACAUUUAACUUCACUACAGAUUGAAAAUACAUAGAUAUAUUUAGGUAUGGGAAUGUUUUCGUCUACAUAUGCACUACAGAGAUGUUAUAACAUUGGCAUAGGUGAUCAAACAAUGUAUUUGAAAAUGUUAUUUUGAAGUAUGUUCUUUACUACAAUAACCUUAAAACAACAUCGAUCCAAUUUCAUUAACUGUUCAAUUUGAUUAAACAUUCUAGGGAAUGAAGUAACUGCGUAAGGGGGAAUAAUUCAUUCGGCUAAACAUAAAUAUUCAGUAGGUAAGAGCGUUGGUCUACGGAUCGCGGGGUCGCGAGUUCGAUCCUCGGGCGGGGCGUAUGUUCUCCGUGACUAUUUGAUAAACGACAUUGUGUCUGAAAUCAUUAGUCCUCCACCUCUGAUCAUUCAUGUGGGGAAGUUGGCAGUUACUUGCGGAGAACAGGUUUGUACUGGUACAGAACCCAGGAACACUGGUUAGGUUAACUGCCCGCCGUUACAUGACUGAAAUACUGUUGAAAAACGGCGUUAAACCCAAAACAAAACAAAAAAAGAAAUAAAAAUCAUUUUGAGGGCUCAGCACGAAACUAGUCUAUCUACUUCUAUUUCUAUAUACACUUACUCUGAGCCCUUGAUUUGUAUUCUGAUACAUCUGUAAACAGUAGUAUACCAACAAUUUUUGAAAAGAACUUCUUUAACGGUGUAAAAAAAAGAGUGUUUCUGAUCAAAAAAAAAAAAAAAAAAAAAAAAAAAAAAAAAGCAAGCUUAAGAUCCGAUAACUUUUUAAUUUGUCAAGGCCUAUAGUCCCAUACUUAUGUUGUAUUAUGUAUCAGUUUAUCCAUGUAUAAUGUUAUUUUGUUACAUAUAUUUAUAUUGUUCAUUUGCUAAAACCUGUUUAUGCCUGUCUCUGCUGAUAAAUUGUUGUUCUUAUAAUGAAUAUAAUAAAUAGCAUAGAAGCAAUAAAUGAUGUAAAAAAUA